rnacentral:rRNA from 1 species
GUGGGGAAUCUUGCGCAAUGGGCGAAAGCCUGACGCAGCCAUGCCGCGUGAAUGAUGAAGGUCUUAGGAUUGUAAAGCUCUUUCACCGGUGAAGAUAAUGACGGUAACCGGAGAAGAAGCCCCGGCUAACUUCGUGCCAGCAGCCGCGGUAAUACGAAGGGGGCUAGCGUUGUUCGGAAUUACUGGGCGUAAAGCGCACGUAGGCGGACAUUUAAGUCAGGGGUGAAAUCCCGGGGCUCAACCCCGGAACUGCCUUUGAUACUGGGUGUCUGGAGUAUGGAAGAGGUAAGUGGAAUUCCGAGUGUAGAGGUGAAAUUCGUAGAUAUUCGGAGGAACACCAGUGGCGAAGGCGGCUUACUGGUCCAUUACUGACGCUGAGGUGCGAAAGCGUGGGGAGCAAACAGGAUUAGAAACCCUGGUAGUCC